UAGGGAAUCUUCCACAAUGGACGAAAGUCUGAUGGAGCAACGCCGCGUGAGUGAAGAAGGGUUUCGGCUCGUAAACUCUGUUGUUAAAGAAGAACAUAUCUGAGAGUAACUGUUCAGGUAUUGACGGUAUUUAACCAGAAAGCCACGGCUAACUACGUGGCAG
rnacentral:rRNA from 1 species